rnacentral:rRNA from 1 species
GACGAACGCUGGCGGCGUGCUUAACACAUGCAAGUCGAACGAAGAGCGAUGGAAGCUUGCUUCUAUCAAUCUUAGUGGCGAACGGGUGAGUAACGCGUAAUCAACCUGCCCUUCAGAGGGGGACAACAGUUGGAAACGACUGCUAAUACCGCAUACGAUCUAAUCUCGGCAUCGAGGAUAGAUGAAAGGUGGCCUCUACAUGUAAGCUAUCACUGAAGGAGGGGAUUGCGUCGGAUUAGCUAGUUGGAGGGGUAACGGCCCACCAAGGCGAUGAUCAGUAGCCGGUCUGAGAGGAUGAACGGCCACAUUGGGACUGAGACACGGCCCAGACUCCUACGGGAGGCAGCAGUGGGGAAUCUUCCGCAAUGGACGAAAGUCUGACGGAGCAACGCCGCGUGAGUGAUGACGGCCUUCGGGUUGUAAAGCUCUGUUAAUCGGGACGAAAGGCCUUCUUGCGAAUAGUGAGAAGGAUUGACGGUACCGGAAUAGAAAGCCACGGCUAACUACGUG